UGCCAGCAGUCGCGGUUAGACCAAGAGGCCAAAUCAUUUCUUACGGUAAAAAACAGUUAGGUUAAAAAAGGCUAAUUAACUAGUAUUAUAAAGUAAAAUUUGAAUAUAAAAAGACUCUUUCAAGCUGUAUCCGAACUGUGAAAUCCUUGAGGGAAACUGGGAUUAGAUACCCCAUUAUUCUAGGUUGUAAAUAUAUUUACCAGGGGACUACGAACGAAUGUUUAAAACUCAAAGGGCUUGGCGGUGUUUUAGACCCCCCAGGGGAAACCUGUCUCAUAAUCGAUAGUCCACGUUGCACCUAACCUUAUUUAUCUAGUAUGUAUACCGUCGUCGGCAGGUAACUUUCAAGAAAAUAAAAGUUAACAGGUAAUUUUUUUGGAUGGGACGUCAGAUCAAGGUGCAGCUUAUAGUAAGGUGAGGAUGGGUUACAAUUACAAUUUAUAUUACCUAAAUUAGCUUGAAAAGCUAACUAAAGGAGGACUUGGAAGUAAGCUUAGAUUAGAAAAAUAUUCUGAAUAAGGCUCUGAAAUGUGUACUAACCGCCCGUCGCUC
rnacentral:rRNA from 1 species